UACGGAAGGGGCAAGCGUUGUUCGGAAUCAUUGGGCGUAAAGGGCGCGUUGGUGGUUCUGUAUGUCUACCGUGAAAGCGUACGGCUCAACCGUAUUUUGUCGGUGGAAACUGCAGGACUUGAGGCUGGGAGGGGCUGGUGGAAUUCCCUGUGUAGCGGUGAAAUGCGUAGAGAUGGGGGAGAACACUCGUGGCGAGGGCGGCCAGCUAGACCAGUUCUGACACUGAGGCGCGACAGCGUGGGGAGCAAACAGG
rnacentral:rRNA from 1 species